AGCAGUACCCAACACAACCACACCAUAGUACCCAGUGGUCCGAUUGACAAUGGAAAAUUCCCAUCCAUAAGAUGACACCUCUUGAGUAGUGUGACUUGCAUUGUUCAGCUGUGGAUCACAAGCAGGACGAAGAGAGUGGAUUUUGUUACUGUGGAACGCAUUAAGAAUGGUUACCGAGAGUUUAUUAACAGGGUGUUGUUAAAUACCUUUUCAUUUUGAACUUUCCAAAUGGUCUAAAAACCGACAAGAAGGUAAGUGAAGAAUUCCUAUCCUUUGUCACUUUUAUUAUCAACUGUAUCUGACCAAUUUUGUAGAUUUUAAAGGAGCGUCGUGUAAUGUAAUGCAUCCAUUUGGAGAGACAAAUGGCAUUCAAACCCAACUGUUCUGGUGAAAUUACAUUAUCUGAAUAAAUGUUCCACUGUUUCGUUGUGCUGCUUGCAUUCAUGACAUUCUGAAGGAUUUGAAAUAGGGAUUGAUCAACCUAGCGAGGGAUAUCCCUAGUUACUGGGAUGAAUUGGUUUUGUAGACGUGAAGAGAGUUAUCAACGGUACGAGUUGCCAUCCCAUCGUUGAACCGUAUAUCGAUGGCAUUCCCUGUAUCAGUAGAGGGUGAAGAAUUGUUAUAGAUCACCACCGCGGAGGAAAUAACAGCCAUGCUGGAAUUGUGGUGUUUAAAACCAUAUGACUAUAGAUAUGACUUUAUAGCACUUCAUUAGAUAAGUGAGAUUAAAGUCGAUAAGGCCUUUAUCUUCUCUUACAUUUGCUUGAGGUAGGUUGUUAUUUGCCCUUUCAUCCUUGGUUUGCGAGGAUACUUCGACUGUACCAUAUUGGUCUUGGGUAGUUAUCAGGGACAUAUUACCCCUACUAGCGUUGUACUUAGACUGCAGUUAACUUCAAUCGGUGCCUUCUGCUACCAACUUCAGUGGUUAGUUCACCCUUAACUUUAAGGGUUCUCUUGGAGUGGACGAAUUAAGUCUUGGAGCGAUGAAAUGUCCAAAGUGUAUCACUUUCUUAUCAAUGCCAUGUAUUUCCUCCCAAAAUUAAUGUCUUAAUAAGAAACAAAUUGGGAGAUUUUCCUUUUCCUGCUAGGGAGGCUUGUUACUCCUCAUUGAUUAUUCACCCAAGAUUAGGGGUGAGAGAGUUACAUUUGUAGAGACUUGUACUCUAAAUAAUUUUUGGAGGUUUUACUUUAACUA